rnacentral:misc_RNA from 1 species
UUUCCGUAGGUGAACCUGCGGAAGGAUCAUUAUUGAAUAAACCUGAUGUGGCUGUUAGCUGGCUUUUCGAAGCAUGUGCUCGUCCGUCAUCUUUAUCUCUCCACCUGUGCACAUUUUGCAGUCUUGGAUACCUCUCGAGGCAACUCGGAUUUUAGGGUCGCUGUGCUGUACAAGUCGGCUUUCCUUUCAUUUCCAAGACUAUGUUUUUAUAUACACCAAAGUAUGUUUAAAGAAUGUCAUCAAUAGGAACUUGUUUCCUAUAUAAUUAUACAACUUUCAGCAACGGAUCUCUUGGCUCUC